rnacentral:rRNA from 1 species
AUUGAACGCUGGCGGCAGGCCUAACACAUGCAAGUCGAGCGAGCGGCGGACGGGUGAGUAAUGUCUGGGGAACUGCCUGAUGGAGGGGGAUAACUACUGGAAACGGUAGCUAAUACCGCAUACCAUCAGAUGAACCCAGAUGGGAUUAGCUUGGUGGUGGGGUAACGGCUCACCCAGGCGACGAUCCCUAGCUGGUCUGAGAGGAUGACCAGCAAAACUGGAACUGAGACACGGCCCAGACUCCUACGGGAGGCAGCAGUGGGGAAUAUUGCACAAUGGGCGCAAGCCUGAUGCAGCCAUGCCGCGUGUAUGAAGAAGGCCUUCGGGUUGUAAAGUACUUUCAGUGGGGAGGCGUUACCGACAGAAGAAGCACCGGCUAACUCCGUGCCAGCCGCCGCGGUAAUAC